rnacentral:rRNA from 1 species
AUAACGCUGGCGGCAUGCUUACACCUGCAGUCGAACGGCAGCACGGGAGCAUCCUGGUGGCGAGUGGCGAACGGGUGAGUAAUAUAUCGGAACGUGCCCAGUCGUGGGGGAUAACGCAGCGAAAGCUGUGCUAAUACCGCAUACGAUCUACGGAUGAAAGCGGGGGAUCGCAAGACCUCGCGCGAUUGGAGCGGCCGAUAUCAGAUUAGCUAGUUGGUGGGGUAAAGGCCCACCAAGGCGACGAUCUGUAGCUGGUCUGAGAGGACGACCAGCCACACUGGAACUGAGACACGGUCCAGACUCCUACGGGAGGCAGCAGUGGGGAAUUUUGGACAAUGGGCGCAAGCCUGAUCCAGCAAUGCCGCGUGCAGGAUGAAGGCCUUCGGGUUGUAAACUGCUUUUGUACGGAACGAAACGGUGAGCUCUAAUAAAGUUUGCUAAUGACGGUACCGUAAGAAUAAGCACCGGCUAACUACGUGCCAGCAGCCGCGGUAAUACGUAGGGUGCGAGCGUUAAUCGGAAUUACUGGGCGUAAAGCGUGCGCAGGCGGUUAUGUAAGACAGAUGUGAAAUCCCCGGGCCUCAACCUGGGACCUGCAUUUGUGACU